UACGUAGGGGGCAAGCGUUGUCCGGAGUUACUGGGCGUAAAGCGCACGCAGGCGGUCUCUUAAGUUUGGAGUGACAGUUGGUGGCUUAACUGCCAAAGUGCUUCGAAAACUGAGAGACUUGAGGGCUUCAGAGGGACACGGAAUUCCGGGUGGAGUGGUGAAAUGCGUAGAGAUCCGGAGGAACACCAAAGGCGAAGGCAGUGUCCUGGGAAGUACCUGACGCUCAGGUGCGAAAGCCAGGGGAGCGAACGGG
rnacentral:rRNA from 1 species